GUGCUAUAAACAGGACCGUCCCCGCAAGGGGACAUGGAACAUUUUCCGGGAAUUCGGUGCGGCACCUGCCAAAUCCGAAACUGCCCCCGCAACUGUUGGUUCCGUAACGUCAGGGGCGCCAAUGCAGCCUGUGACACCGGGAACAAGUCAGAUUACCGGGAUUGUUUCGCUCUCUGAC
rnacentral:ncRNA from 2 species